AGGGAAUCUUCCGCAAUGGACGCAAGUCUGACGGAGCAACGCCGCGUGAGUGAGGAAGGCCUUCGGGUCGUAAAGCUCUGUUGCCAGGGAAGAAUGGCUUGCAGUUAACUGCUGCAAGUUUGACGGUACCUGAGAAGAAAGCCCCGGCUAACUACGUGCCAGCAGCCGCGGUAAUACGUAGGGGGCAAGCGUUGUCCGGAAUUAUUGGGCGUAAAGGGCGCGCAGGCGGCCGUUUAAGUCUCGUGUUUAAUCCCGGGGCUCAACCCCGGUACGCAUGGGAAACUGGAUGGCUUGAGUGCAGAAGAGGAGAGUGGAAUUCCACGUGUAGCGGUGAAAUGCGUAGAGAUGUGGAGGAACACCAGUGGCGAAGGCGGCUCUCUGGUCUGUAACUGACGCUGAGGCGCGAAAGCGUGGGUAGCGAAC
rnacentral:rRNA from 1 species